UACGUAGGGUGCAAGCGUUAAUCGGAAUUACUGGGCGUAAAGCGUGCGCAGGCGGUUCGCUAAGACAGAUGUGAAAUCCCCGGGCUUAACCUGGGAACUGCAUUUGUGACUGGCGGGCUAGAGUAUGGCAGAGGGGGGUAGAAUUCCACGUGUAGCAGUGAAAUGCGUAGAGAUGUGGAGGAAUACCGAUGGUGAAGGCAGCCCCCUGGGCCAAUACUGACGCUCAUGCACGAAAGCGUGGGGAGCAAACAGG
rnacentral:rRNA from 1 species